UCUUACGGCCAUACCAGCCCAACAACGCCCGGUCUCGUCUGAUCUCGGAAGCUAAGAAGGCUUGGGCCUGGUUAGUACUUGGAUGGGAGACCUCCAGGGAAUACUAGGUGCUGUAAGCU
ensembl:rRNA 5S_rRNA 5S ribosomal RNA